rnacentral:sRNA from 1 species
CCAUAGCCCCGAUAGUAGCGGUUACCCCACAGCAGGCGAUGGGAAAAGCGAUGGCGCGAGGAGUAAUAGCGGAUAGCGGGAAAUAGC